rnacentral:rRNA from 1 species
UACGUAGGGCGCAAGCGUUGUCCGGAAUUAUUGGGCGUAAAGAGCUCGUAGGCGGCCAGUUGCGUCUGCUGUGAAAUCCCGGGGCUCAACCCCGGGCGUGCAGUGGAUACGGGCUGGCUAGAGGCAGGCAGGGGAGAACGGAAUUCCCGGUGUAGCGGUGAAAUGCGCAGAGUAUCGGGAGGAACACCGGUGGCGAAGGCGGUUCUCUGGGCCUGUACUGACGCUGAGGAGCGAAAGCGUGGGGAGCGAACAGG